AUAACUAGGAACAAACUAACCUAGUGGUAACAUGUAUAUAAGUAACAAGAUAAUGAGUUUAACUCAUUUAUAAGCAAAUCGAAACUUGAGGGACUAUUAUUGGGCAAUUUGAAAGAUGAAAAAUUAAAAUCAUAUAAAACACCAAAACUCACACACUGAUAUGUGAGUUUGUCGACCAAACAAGAAAAGAACAAGGGGAAACCCUUCUUGAUCAUGAAUCAGCCCAAUUGAAAGGAAAUUGAAGAUUUUUAUGAUGCAUGUAUCAAGAUUUUCAAUCUCCUAAGUGUUCUUCACGCCAAGUGUAGCAAGGCUUGGAAGACAACAUGGCAAACAAGUGGAAAUGGUGACGAAUUUCUUACGGGCAAAGGUAAGUGAUUCCGAAUCACUUCUUAGUAUGUGUAUAUAUAUAAUUUUGAUAUUUAUGGAUGUGGGGAAGUUAUGUAAGGUUGUGUAAUGAAUGAGAGUAUUAAGAUAAGUAUUAAUUUUAUUAGACAAAGAUAGUUAUCUAAGACGAAGGUAUAAUGGUGGGAUUAAACGGGUCGAAUAAAUAUGCAUAAGUAAUGUAACGAUAAUGAAAUUCGUAAAGAUUAAGGACCCGGGGUAGUGAUUUUAGUCAAUUAUGUAAGGAUUUGUUUUACGGACAAUUAGGAACAAGUUCCAAGUGAUACGGAUACAAAACGAUCAAGUUAUGAGAGUUUUGGUAUUAAAAUGGUGGGCUGAACUGGGCAAUAUCGUAGCUUACGGUACCCACCGUAGGCUACGGUAGGUGCUGAAAACCCUUCUUCCACCGUAAGGCAGUUUAAAGGAACCGUAAGCUUUUAGGUGCCACCGUAAGCUACGGUAGUCACCGUAGCUUACGGUAGAGGCUGUCGCGCCCUGCGAUAAUAGGAGUAAAGUCUCUCGCGGCCCGCGAGAGACCACUGAACUGGCAAAAGUCCCUAAUUUUGUUGUUUUUGGACAUGGAACUUGUUUUAAUUUGUUUUCAAGGCCUCAUAACUAGUGUUUAAGAUGGUUUUGAUUAUAAGUAAAUGUUAUGGGACUCCGGAUAGUAUAGGUAUCGAUUUCCCUUCGUGUUAGUGAAGGAAAUCUAUAAGUAAACGUGUCUGGAAACGAGUAAGUAUGUAGGUUGAUAUGUAUGAAACUUAUAUUAUGGAAAGUUGUGAAUAUGAUAUGUUAGUAUAAAUAUAUGUGAAUAAUAGUGAUAAGCAAGAGCUCGUAUGUAUGUAUAUAGGUGUAUAUGAUUGAACGUAUGUAGGAACUAGGAAUGUAUGCAUGUAUGAACGUAAGUUGCUGUGAAUGUAUGUAGGAAUGGUUUCAAAACGUUUGGGUAUUGACGAUUACUAAUGAUGUGCCUUGAGAUUGAAAUGUAAUGCAGGUAUGAGAUCGACGGGUUCGUGAAAAAUUGAAGCCGAACUUGGAUUAAGAGAAUUUAAAGAAUGCUUGAAUGAAUCCAAGUUUACAUUACGGAUUGUUAUACGAUUCUCAAUUAUAUAGAAUAAUGUUGUAUGGUGUGUCAAGGACUAACGGUUAAGUUGUAUAUGAUGUCCACAGGUAUCACACGGAAUUCUUGUACCACUAACGAAGAUAAGCGGGCGUAGAUCGAGUCAAAGAGCAAGGAUUGUACGGAAGAACGGUCACAUAGUUUGAAUUAUAUAACGCUUUGAAGUAUUAAUUUAAGUGUGAACGUCGUGAAUCACUUCUAGAAAACGUAUGACAUUUUAUAAUUGAGCAUUCACGUAAUUAAUGUCGUUAAUAAAGAAAGAAAUUUUAAGGCUC